GGGAAUGAGGAGGGGUGCGGCUCGGCUUCUUCGGGGCAGAGGGACUGGCGUAGGCAUUUUGCCAGAGACGGUGGAAAGUUGUACAGCGAUCAUCACAAGAGGGACUCUUGAAGGAUGGUUCGCAGAAGGGGAAAGAAAGGUGUUCCAAAGAGAGGUACCAUCGUGAACACAGAGCACAAAUGCCUCCUGAUCAUCAGGGUGUGAUCAGAAUUCACUGGCAAGUCUCCUUGGAUAUUUCUUCUGAACUGUGCUAUUUGAUUCGGCACCACCAGUGGAUGGGGAUAACCAUCUCUACUUCACAACCAAGGUGAGGCUUAAACACCUGAUAUUUCUGAGUAAUCAGUGUUGAGAUGAAGAACCCAGAUGAAGGUGUCUCUAUGCCCAAAUGCCUUCAGAUGUAGCUGUGAACCUGCCCAGGAUGUAUGUAUUCCAUGGAGGAAUUCAGGUGUCCCUGUGGGACACAACCUUCCCGUAAGACGGUCCUACUGUUUUUCAGGUGGUCCUAGGAACUGACUCGUGGCUCUGGAGGCCCACAGACAGAGCCCACCUUCUCUGCCACUUCCAGAGAAGUCUCCUGAGGCCGUUGCUAACCUCCACAUUACAAUGGUUCUGGAAUGCCAAACCCAUCUGUAUAGCUCCCCCUAGUGCCCACUCAGGAAAUCAUAUCCUUUGGAGUUAAUAAUAACAACAGCAACAAAAUCAAUAGCUAAAGUUUCUGAAUGCUAACUGAAGAAAUAUACGUAGAGCACUUAGAACUUUGCCUGGAAAAUAGAAAGUACUAUGUGUUAGCUUCAAUAAGAAUAAUAAUAAUUAAUUAUUAUUAUUAUUAUCACUAUGGUGAUGAUGUGCUAAGCAUUGAGCGAAGCAUAAUGGGCGUAAAUUGGUUUAACCCUUGUAACUGUAGGAUUUUUGCUUACAUCUCAUAUGUGUAAGAAGUGCUAGGGCUGGACCUCCCCCGCCAGCAUUUCUCCAAGGGUCGGGUUUGGUGGAAAUAUCCUUUCUCUGUUGCACAGAGCUGUUGUACCAGAAGGAGAAUAAUUGUUCCCCUUAGAUGAUGAUAAUACCCCCAUCUAUCCUUUGUUCAUCAAUUAUCAAUUUAUAAAGUGCUUUUGCAUGUUAUCAUUCAUCAAAUUCUCAUAACAUCCCUGUGAGGUAGUAUUUUAUCUCCUUUUUGGAAUCAUCCCCACUCAGCUUCCUAAGCCAUAUCUCCUGGGCCGCUUCCUACGUCACUGGCCACUUACUAGUUUUCUUUGGCUGGUUCCCUCUCCGUUCCCCAGUCUCUAAACAUAAGUGUUCAUUAGAAGGUCUAAUGCCUGGGUUCCACCUCCAGUGCUUCUGAUUUAAUUGAUUUCAUGGUAGGGUCUUGGCAGCAGCACAUUUAAAAAGCCCUUUAGGAGAUUAAACCUUUGUCAGAUGAGCCAUUUGCU